ensembl:lncRNA
AUUGAUCCUUGGGUACCUUAGUCAUGAAAACCACACAGGAAGCUCUGCAGAACAAAGGCAUGAGAGAAUGCUGGAAGUACAGUGCAUGCAGCUGUUUUCUCUGAAUGCAGACUGAGGGGCCUAAACAGGUUAGAAUUAAAAAGGAAUAAAAUAUCACCACUUUCUUGCUGAGACUUACAGAGUAAAUACACGUCUGCCUGCAGGGAAGCGAGCUAGGUUUCACACAGUACAGCUUCAUAACCUGCCUGUGAGCUCUCAGUGAGACACUUCACCCUCUCUGGCUCAGAUAUGUGGCUAAACAUGGGAACACCGUUGUGCUGCAGCGAACAUAAGUGUAGUAGUACAUGCAAAAUAUUCUACUGUGGCUUUGCUGCUGAUCCUUAAUUAUCCACAUUAAAAAUUGUUCUUUCCUCUGAUAAAUAUUUUUCAAGUUGUUUUCACUCUUAAGAACAUAGUGACAAAUUCCCUUUGAAAAAUAAAUUCCCAACACCACGGUUAUGUUAGAAGUUCUCAGGAAAAAUUUGAAAGAACUGAACAACACGAUUGUUCCCUUUCACUUUUCCCUAUCGCCUUUGUGGUCGGUUUCACAAUUUUUCAAGCAUAUCGGGAAAUUUCAGGCACCUCGGGAAAGCGUGUGCAGUGAAUCCAGGUGUUGGUUAGGUGGAUAUGCUCAACGAGGAAGAUAAAUCCACGGAGCUGAGGCUCUGCUGGCAGAUGUGGAGUGGUAUUUGGAAAACAGCCCGACAUCACCAGCCGUGAGCGCUGCUCGCAGGCGGCGCUCCUGGAGCUCGGCCCUGUUUCCACAGGUGCUCACAGAGCGCCAGAGCGCCGCUCGGGUGUCACCUCUGUAGCACCUGGUGAGGCACACGCAUCUCUCCGCUUGAUAGCCUCCCCUUAUGGCCACCGCAGCGUCCUGCGGCCUAGCCUGGCAGAAAAUACUGCGAGAAAGGAGAGAGAGAGGAGCCCACCUCGCCGCGCCCAUGCCCAGCCCGGCCCCCGCCCCGCGAUCCCGCCCCGGCCCGCCCCUCGCCCGGCACCGCGCAGACCGCGCCCGGCGAGCUCCGGCGGCCCCUCCGCGGCCAUGCGGCUCCUCGGCGGCGCCUCCUGCGCUCUGUGGGCGCUGCUGCUGCUCGCCCGUGGCUCCCUUAAUGAAGGGACAAACACCACUGAAGAUGUGAACAGCACUACUCCGAUUCCAGGCAGUAGGUUGCCAGACAGUAGCAGUUCACCCAAUGCCACUGCAUCAUCCACACAAACUACAGCAACACCUACAGGAGGUAUGUAUCUGUUCAUUACUGUGAACCUGGAAGUUAGUUCCAAACCUAACCCUGAUCAUACCAAAUUCUAA